CCAAUAGCGUAUAUUAAAGUUGUUGCAGUUAAAAAGCUCGUAGUUGAAUUUCGGGAUCAGUACGCUGGUCGUACCUUCGGUACGUACUGGUGUCACUGAUUCCUCCCUUCUGAAGAACCGUCAUGCCAUUCAGUUGGUGUGGCAGGGAAUCAGGACUGUUACUUUGAAAAAAUUAGAGUGUUUAAAGCAGGCUCGCGCUUGAAUACAUUAGCAUGGAAUA
rnacentral:rRNA from 1 species